UACGUAGGGUCCGAGCGUUGUCCGGAAUUAUUGGGCGUAAAGGGCUCGUAGGCGGUCUGUUGCGUCGGGAGUGAAAACUUACAGCUUAACUGUGAGCGUGCUUUCGAUACGGGCAGACUAGAGGUAUGCAGGGGAGAACGGAAUUCCUGGUGUAGCGGUGAAAUGCGCAGAUAUCAGGAGGAACACCGGUGGCGAAAACGGUUCUCUGGGCAUUACCUGACGCUGAGGAGCGAAAGUGUGGGGAGCGAACAGG
rnacentral:rRNA from 1 species